AUUGAACGCUGGCGGCAUGCCUUACACAUGCAAGUCGAACGGCAGCACGGGAGCAAUCCUGGUGGCGAGUGGCGAACGGGUGAGUAAUGUAUCGGAACGUACCUUUCAGUGGGGGAUAACGUAGCGAAAGUUACGCUAAUACCGCAUAAGCCCUGAGGGGGAAAGUGGGGGACCGCAAGGCCUCACGCGAAUGGAGCGGCCGAUGUCAGAUUAGCUAGUUGGUGGGGUAAAGGCCCACCAAGGCGACGAUCUGUAGCGGGUCUGAGAGGAUGAUCCGCCACACUGGGACUGAGACACGGCCCAGACUCCUACGGGAGGCAGCAGUGGGGAAUUUUGGACAAUGGGCGCAAGCCUGAUCCAGCCAUGCCGCGUGCGGGACGAAGGCCU
rnacentral:rRNA from 1 species